rnacentral:rRNA from 1 species
UACGUAGGGUGCGAGCGUUAAUCGGAAUUACUGGGCGUAAAGCGUGCGCAGGCGGCGCGUUAAGACAGGUGUGAAAGCCCCGAGCUUAACUUGGGAAUUGCGCUUGUGACUGGCGUGCUGGAGUGUGGCAGAGGGAGGUGGAAUUCCACGUGUAGCAGUGAAAUGCGUAGAGAUGUGGAGGAACACCGAUGGCGAAGGCAGCCUCCUGGGCCAGCACUGACGCUCAUGCACGAAGCGUGGGAGC